UUAUCUUUUUAUUUCACAGAAAGACCUGGCCUGAAGCUGCUCUUAUCAGUUUAAUAUCUGAUACGUCCCCUAUCUGGGGACCAUAUAUUAAAUGGAUUUUUCGAACAGGGAGAUGGAAAAAUAGCUUGCUCUGUCCACUCCACUGUCCACUGACCUGGUAUUGCAGUACCUCCAGGACCGGUGCACCCCUU